UGGUGGAGCGAUUUGUCUGGUCAAUUCCGAUAACGAACGAAACUCUAGCCUACUAAAUAGUUCGGGGACCCCCACAAAGGGGCCCCGCUUCAACUUCUUAGAGGGACAGGUGGCGUUUAGCCACACGAGAUUGAGCAAUAACA
rnacentral:rRNA from 1 species